GAGACACUAGUAGAACUAGUAAACUACACUGCUUUGUCAGGGCAUAAGUGCGGGUUAAAAUCCCGCGUGUCUCA
rnacentral:tRNA from 1 species